GAUGAACGCUGGCGGCGUGCCUAACACAUGCAAGUCGAGCGAUUCUCUUCGGAGAGGAGCGGCGGACGGGUGAGUAACGCGUGGGUAACCUGCCCUGUACACACGGAUAACAUACCGAAAGGUAUGCUAAUACGAGAUAAUAUGCUUUUAUCGCAUGGUAGAAGUAUCAAAGCUUUUGCGGUACAGGAGGGGACCGCGGUCUGAUUAGCUAGUGGGUAAGGUAACGGCUUACCAAGGCGACGAUCAGUAGCCGACAUGAGAGGGUGAUCGGCCAGAUUGGAACUGUGACACGGUCCAAACUCCUACGGGGGGCGGCGAUGGGGAAUAUUGCACAAUGGGCGAAAGCCUGAUGCAGCUACGCCGCGUGAGCGAUGAAGGCCUUCGGGUAGUAAAGCUCUGUCCUCAAGGAAGAUAAUGACGGUGCUUGAGGAGGAAGCCCCGGCUAACUACGUGCCAGCAGCCGCAGUAG
rnacentral:rRNA from 1 species